rnacentral:rRNA from 1 species
GAUGAACGCUGGCGGCGUGCUUAACACAUGCAAGUCGAACGGAAAGGCCAGUGCUUGCACUGGUACUCGAGUGGCGAACGGGCGAGUAACACGUGGGUGAUCUGCCCUGCACUUCGGGAUAAGCCUGGGAAACUGGGUCUAAUACCGGAUAGGACAAUGGUUUGGAUGCCGUUGUGGAAAGUUUUUUCGGUGUGGGAUGAGCUCGCGGCCUAUCAGCUUGUUGGUGGGGUAAUGGCCUACCAAGGCGUCGACGGGUAGCCGGCCUGAGAGGGUGUACGGCCACAUUGGGACUGAGCUACGGCCCAGACUCCUACGGGAGGCAGCAGUGGGGAAUAUUGCACAAUGGGCGCAAGCCUGAUGCAGCGACGCCGCGUGGGGGAUGACGGCCUUCGGGUUGUAAACUCCUUUCGCUAGGGACGAAGCGUAUUUGUGACGGUACCUGGAGAAGAAGCACCGGCUAACUACGUG